rnacentral:lncRNA from 1 species
ACAGGUGGCAGACCUGAGUCACCAGCAAAGGAUGACUGCACAUAUAAGCAUGGAGCAGUUCUCGGAAAGCCUCCCACUGUAAGUUGUAUUUGCUUACCUUACAGUUACUAUGGUUUGCUCAAUAGCUCUAUGUAUAGUGCCUUCCACAUCUUGCUCUAAUAUCCAAAAAGGAGGAUGACUGUGCCAUCCACUCGAGACAGAACAUUGUGUUGAAUUAUAGUGGGUAUUUUUCGUUACAGAAUCAUAAUGUGUUCCAAAAGAUUACAAUUUUUAUAAUCUUUACUUAAGACGUAUCAAAAUUUGCAUGAGACUAAUUUUUCCCCAUAAGUAUGUUUCCCAAAUUAUAGUACUCAAAUUUUCAAAAUAUAUGUCAAUUUAUAAAACAAAAUUCUCCCAGGAAGUGGUACUUCAUUUCCAUUUCAUGUUGUUUGGGUUAAAUUUUGCUCGGCACUUCUGUACCAUCUCAAAUUUGUGUCACUUUAAUGCUUAAGAACCAUGAAUUUCAAAUUAGCUCAUGUAUGAACUGCAACUAUUUGAAUUAAAUCUAUGAAUUCCUACAUUUACUAAAUGAACAUCCGAAGCAUAUUUCGAUCUUCCUGUCCUCACUUGGUGCCAACCUGGCUCCUGUUGAUCCCACAUAUUCAUUUGUUUUGUAUACCAUACUUACAUGUAUUCAUUUGGCAAUUUAACUUCCUCAUCCAGAAGCAUUCAUGUACAAAUGAUAUGAUGUCCAAUUAACUUGGCACCAAAGAGUGAAAGAAAGAGGAAAGGAAAGAGAAUGAUAUCAGUUGGUUUUAACUAACAAGGAUAAAUUGACAACAUCCUACAAUCUAAGAGAUGAUAACUUCAAAAGGGAUAUAAACUAUUGGUUUCUGAUAUUUUCAAGUGUUUCGAUUUGUAGAAAAAAUGGUUUUGCUGCUUGCGUGCGGAAUCGUGAGGAAGCUCCCACCAUGUCAUAGAUUUUUCAGGAAAUGCUAUUAUGUGUUUAUGUCCCCAUGUCAUUAUGUAUUCCAGAAGACUGGAGCUAUGUUCAAAAGCCGUGAUUGGUCCUGCUGGAAUCUGUUUGCUGUCUUUUUGAACAUUUGGUAGAAUUGUGGGCUUAUUUGGGGAGACAAAUGAUUGCACUGUAUUAAGUUUCUGUACUGGUCAAUAUUUUUGCCAAG